rnacentral:rRNA from 1 species
AUUGAACGCUGGCGGCAGGCUUAACACAUGCAAGUCGAGCGGGGUGAUGGUGCUUGCACUAUCACUUAGCGGCGGACGGGUGGGUAAUGCUUAGGAAUCCGCCUAUUAGUGGGGGACAACAUCUCGAAAGGGAUGCUAAUACCGCAUACGUCCUACGGGAGAAAGCAGGGGAUCACUUGUGACCUUGCGCUAAUAGACGAGCCUAAGUCGGAUUGGCUAGUUGGUGGGGUAAAGGCCUACCAAGGCGACGAUCUGUAGCGGGUCUGAGAGGAUGAUCCGCCAAACUGGGACUGAGACACGGCCCAGACUCCUACGGGAGGCAGCAGUGGGGAAUAUUGGACAAUGGGGGGAACCCUGAUCCAGCCAUGCCGCGUGUGUGAAGAAGGCCUUAUGGUUGUAAAGCACUUUAAGCGAGGAGGAGGCUCGUUUGGUUAAUACCCAAGAUGAGUGGACGUUACUCGCAGAAUAAGCACCGGCUAACUCUGUGCCAGCCGCCGCGGUAAAAC